rnacentral:rRNA from 1 species
CCUACGGGUGGCAGCAGUGAGGAAUAUUGGUCAAUGGUCGGAAGACUGAACCAGCCAAGUCGCGUGAGGGAUGACGGUACAGAGUAUCGUAAACCUCUUUUGUCAGGGAACAAAGGCGGGGACGUGUCCCCGGAUGAGUGUACCUGAUGAAAAAGCAUCGGCUAACUCCGUGCCAGCAGCCGCGGUAAUACGGAGGAUGCGAGCGUUAUCCGGAUUUAUUGGGUUUAAAGGGUUGGCAGGCGGUCUUUUAAGUCAGCGGUAAAAGGCCGGGGCUCAACCCCGGCUCGCCGUUGAAACUGGAAGUCUCGAGUUGGAGCGAGGUAGGCGGAAUGCGUGGUGUAGCGGUGAAAUGCUUAGAUAUCGCGCAGAACUCCGAUUGCGAAGGCAGCAUGCCGGCUCCACACUGACGCUGAGGCACGAAAGCGUGGGUAUCGAACAGGAUUAGAUACCCUUGUAGUC